GCGUCUCACCCAGGCACACUACAGCACUUGUCAUUUCCUCGCUGGGCUGGGGUCAAGCAGCGCCUUUAUUCUCCGGAGAGGAGCCUGGCCUCCUGGAGGAGAUCCCGCCUGGACACUCCGUGUGCGGCACGUCGCCGCGGGGCUCCCCGGGGAGCCCGGCCCGCGGCCCCCCAGCCCGGGCAGCACCACUCACCGCGGCGCCGAGAUGCGGACGAGCCCGAGCAGGCUGCGGCCGGGAGUCACCCACGCGCAGUCACAGCCCCGCCCCCCCCGCAGGUGCCGCCGCAGAGCAGCCCCGCAGCUGUCCUAGGGACCGUGGAGCGGAUGGGAGGAGGAGGCCGGAGGCUGCUUCCUUCGUGACACGUUCACAGAAAGGAGGGGAGCCCGUUCCCGCCGCUACAAUUCGUCCGUCAGCAUUUCGGUUUUAAACUCGAAACCUUCCUCGGCCUUUCUGCCACAUGCAGGCGAACACAGGCCCGAGCUCCUGCCCUCGGGAGCUGGGAUUUGCACAGUGAAACAGGGAGGCUGCACCAACGAGGAUGGCAUGCAGUGCUCCUCACUUUUUUUUAAAUAAAAGUUUUUCUACCUUAGUAAAGUGUGUGUGUGUGUGUGUGUGUGUGUAAAUUUUACUAAGGUAGAAAAGCCUGUUUUAAAAAAAAAGUGAGGAGCAUUGCAUGCCGUCCUCGUUCAUACUAUUUCACUUGUAUAUUCAAAUGUCUAGUUGUAUCCUGUACAUAGGCCACACAUAGGAGGGACAGGGGAGGGCACGUGCCCCUGAGAUUAGCUGCCACCAACCGUGCGGCGUGUCUGCAGGUGGUGGCUGCCUCCCCACCAUCCAUAACUGCCUGGGGGGGGUCCCUCACUGCCAACAUCACCAUGUCUGCUUGCACGCAGUCCCCACCUGCUGCCGCCACACCACCACUUGCAGGCUGUCACCAUGCUCCCCCAUCCUCAGGAGGCACGAGUCAUUUACUAUCCUAUACAACUGUAGGACUCUGCAAAUCAAGCUCACACCUGAGUACCAGAUGCAGAAGAUACUGACCCUCCACUAUGAGGGAAUUAAGAACAUCCCCUAAAAACAUUUGUGUGAUCAAGAUUUCAGGCUUCAUCCCCUCCCUACAGACUAAUUUUUUGGACUAUUUGAUCUCUAAAGCAUGAAGGCACAAUCUGGCUCCAUAUUGGUUAGCAGAUUGGAGCUGGCAUUGGGGUUGUGCGUCAUUAUGUAGGUGGCAAGAAGUACAAUUUUAUGUCACACAGCCCAAGCUGGUUAAGGAUGCCAGGAUUUAUACGGCUAAUUUUCCAUACAGAAUUAGGAACCAAGGCGAAGGCAAACUUAUUCACAAUAAGUAGAGGAAAAGGGACUCCCUCCCCCACCCAAAGCCUUUCUUUAAGGUAUUCUUUUCUUGAUUAGUUUUCCAAGGGAAGCUUCCAAGUCUACCACUUGAUUUAAAUCCUUCAAGAACAAAACAAAUCAGGCUCCAAUCAAUCUUUUCUACAGCCGCUUUGUGUAGUUCCCUGGCACUGUGUGUAAUGAUUUGAUAGUACUAAAAUCUGCUCAAAGAUUUUGAAAGAAUCAUAGAAAGUUAGGGUUGGAAGGGACCACAGGAGAUCAUCUAGUUCAACUCCCUGCUCAAAGGAGGACCACCCCCAACUCGAUCAUCCAUCCCAGCCAAAGCUUUGUCAAGCCUGGUGUUUAAAACUACCAAAGAUGGAGCUUCCACCACCUCUCUGUAAAACUUGCUCCAGUGUUUUAUUACCCUCCUAGUGAGAAAAUUCUUCCUAAUAUCUAACAUAACUUCCCUUGCUGCAACUUAAGAUUGUUGCUCCUUGAUCUGUCAUCUGCCCCCACUGAGAACAGUCUAACUCUAUCCUCUUUCAAACCCCACUUCAGGUAGUUGAACGCUGUUAUUAAAUCCCCUCUCAGUCUUCUCUUCUCUAAGGCUAAAAAAGCUCAGUUCUCUCAGCCUCUCCUCAUAAAUCCUGUCCUCCAGCCCCCUCACAUUUUUGUUGCACUCCACUGGAUUCUCUCCAAUUUAUCCACAUCCUUUCUGUAAUAGGGGCCCCAAAACUGAACACAGUGCUCCAGCUGUGGCCUCACCAGUGCUGAAUAAAGGGGAAUAAUCAUUUCCCUUAACCUGCUGGCAACACACCUACCAAUGCAGCCCAGUAUGCCAUUAGCCUUCUUGGCAACAAGGGCACAGUGCUGGGUCAUAUUCAACUUCUUGUCCAUUGUAACACCCAGGUCCUUUUCUGAAGAGCUGCUGCCCAACCAGUCAACCCCCAGCCUGUACUGGUACAUGGGACUGGUCCCUCCCAAGUGCAGGACUUUUCACUUCUCCUUGUUGAACCUCAUGAGAUUUUUUGGCCCAAUCCUCCAAUUUGUCUAGGUCACACAUUCCCCCCCCCCCCCCCAACCCUACUGGUGUCCCUCAGUCCUCCCACAAUAACCUCCCAGCCCUACAUAUGCAGGCUCAGACACCCAGGCAGGUGUGUGAGAGGAGAAAGGGGCAGGGUGAGGCAGGGGAAAGGGAAGGGGCUGCAGGAUGCAGAUUGAGUGGGUCUCUAUCUGUUCCCAGCAGGGCCAGGGGUGCAAGGGCAGUGGUGCCCCUCUGUGGACCACACACACACUGCCCGGCCAGACCAGGGGGCGGGGGGGGAGGGAGGGUUAGCACACAGCUGCCACCCCUGCCACCACUACUACUGCCGCGCUGCUUUGCCAUGAAAAAUACCAAAUUAUAUUCUAAAAAUAAAACAUCUACUACAACAUUCAUUAA